UAGGGAAUCUUCGGCAAUGGGGGGAACCCUGACCGAGCAACGCCGCGUGUGUGAAGAAGGUUUUCGGAUCGUAAAGCUCUGUUGUUAAGGAAGAACGAGUGUGAGAAUGGAAAGUUCAUACUGUGACGGUACUUAACCAGAAAGGGACGGCUAACUACGUGCCAGCAGCCGCGGUAAUACGUAGGUCCCGAGCGUUGUCCGGAUUUAUUGGGCGUAAAGCGAGCGCAGGCGGUUAGAUAAGUCUGAAGUUAAAGGCAGUGGCUCAACCAUUGUAGGCUUUGGAAACUGUUUAACUUGAGUGCAGAAGGGGAGAGUGGAAUUCCAUGUGUAGCGGUGAAAUGCGUAGAUAUAUGGAGGAACACCGGUGGCGAAAGCGGCUCUCUGGUCUGUAACUGACGCUGAGGCUCGAAAGCGUGGGGAGCGAACAGG
rnacentral:rRNA from 1 species